rnacentral:tRNA from 2 species
GGGCUGUUAGCUCAGCUGGUAGAGCAGCGGACUCUUAAUCCGUAGGUCGACGGUUCGAACCCGUCACAGCCCACCA